rnacentral:rRNA from 1 species
GACGAACCGUGCAAACGUUGUUCGGAAUCACUGGCUUAAAGGGCGCGUAGGCGGGCCAGACAGUCUGUGGUGAAAGCCUCCAGCUCAACUGGAGAAGUGCCGUGGAUACUGCUGGUCUCGAGGAGGGUAGGGGCAUCUGGAACAGUAGGUGGAGCGGUGAAAUGCGUUGAUAUCUACUGGAACUCCGAUGGCGAAGGCAAGGUGCUGGACCCUUUCUGACGCUGAGGCGCGAAGCCAGGGAG